rnacentral:lncRNA from 1 species
AUGUAUAUGGUGCAGUUCAACUGUGAAUUAUCCACAUUUCCUUCUCUUUUUUUUUUGGUAUUGGGGAUUGAACUCAGGACCCUGUGCUUACGAGGAAGGUGUGGCACCACUGAGCUAAAUCCCCGGCCCAACAUUUCUACUACUACUCUCCCUCCAAAAAGUGUGUUUCCAAUUGUUUGGAUGGUAUACAUGGUUUUUUUCAAUCAAGUAAUAGAAAAAAGAAAAGAUAUACAAGAAUGCACAACAAUAAAACAAGAGAAAAGAAUAUGAAGGACUGAAACAAAAAGAGAGGCAGUGGAGCAAAUACAACAGUAAAACAUGAGAUCAUGUAAAAUUAUGCUUAAGCCUUAAUGUGUAAAUUGGGAAAUAAAAUUGUAAGUUCCCAUAUGUCUUAGUUACUUUCUCAUUGCUAAAACAAAAUGCCUGACACCCAAAGUUAAAAGAGGAAAGGUUUAUUUGAAGAGGUUUUAGUCCACAGUCAGCUGGCUCCACGGCAGGGUAGCAUGGCAGAGGAGAAACAGUCCAUGGCAAGACAGGUAGGAGGCAGAAAAGCAGUAAGCAGCAAGUAGCGAGCCUCCUUUUCCCUUUUAUCCCAGCUAAGCUACAAGCAUAUUGAUUGAUGCCACAUACACUCAGGGUGGGCCUUCCCAUUAGCCACAUCCAGAACUAUGAUAAACCAAUCAGUGGGCUAAUUUAGUUAUCACGUGCCCUUAAUCCAUAUUCACAUACUCUAAAUCUGGCCACCUCCAAAAAUCCCCCCUAUAAGUCUAUGAGCUGGAACAUCCAGAUACAAGCUGUAACACCAUAUAUUGAUGGGAAAGAAAAAAUUAAAGAACCUACAAGGCACAUGUCUCCAUCUCCCAGGGAACAUCAUUCUAACCUCAAAUGACCAUAUUACUUCAAUAUAAGUAUCGCACUUUUUAAUUUUUUUUUUUUGGUGCUGUGGAUUGAACCCAGAAUCUCACAUAUGCUAAAUACAUGCUCUACCACUGAGCUCCACCUCCAGCCCCCAACAUCUCAUUCUAUAAUGAGUUCCACAGAGAAUAUUUUUAGUACAAUUUUCAACAUAACUUUUUUUAAGGCACUUUUUACUAAAUCUCUUUGGAUAUUAACUCUAUCUUCUACCAAGGACCAAAUUGGCAAAUAAAUGAACAGGGUAUACAUUUGUUAAGAAGUUAUAAAUUAUAAUUAUACUUAGGAAGAUUCUGUCUCAAAAAUUUUUUUUUUAAAUUUUAAAGGACUGAGGAUAUAGCUCAGUGUGAAGGUCCUGGGUUUAAUCCCCAGUAAUUGGGGGGUUGGGAUAAAUAGAAUUCAUUUACUGCAGAGACUCCCACACUAUUUUAAGAGAACAGCCAUCCAUCAAAACAAAUUGCUCACAUUUGGUUGUUUUCCUUUCAAUAAUUCUUUUUAAUUCAAUCACCACUCACUUUUUUUAAUAGUUACUUGAGGAAAAAGUGCAUUCUACUGUUAUUGGUUAGAACAUUCUAUACACAUCAAGGUCUAGUUGCUUUACAAUGUUGUUCAAGUCCUCUAGUCCCUUAACAAGCUUUUGUUUAGUCUGUCUAUACUUACAAGGUAGUAUUAAAGUCUCCAACUAUUAAUAUAGAACUCUCUCUCUCUCCCUUCAGUUCUGUCAGUGUCUGUUUUUAUCUUUGGGGGAAUCUAUAUUUUGGUGUACACAUUUAUAAUUGCUAAUCAACAUAUAAAUACCUUGUCAGUCUCUUAUAAUAGUUUUCUGAGAGGCUACUCAGCCAUAAAAAAUGAGAAAUUAGACAUUUAUAGCUAAAUGGAUACACACUGAGGCAAUUCUCUUAAGUGAAAUAAAUAGAACAUACAUGUUUAAAUACCGAAUAGUUUCUCUAGUGUGAGAAACUGAAAGUGUAAAUAAGGACUAAAAGGUACAAUAGAUAACAUGAAAUAGGAAGAAAAGGGGCAAAGGGGAAGGGGAAGUGGGAGGGGUAGGGGAAAGGAAAGAAGGGAAUGGAAUUAAUAUGAGAAAAUGAAAAAAUGGAAACAAAGUCUUUGUAAAUAUGGAGGGAUGGAGGGGUUGGAGGGCAGGGGAAUGGGGAAAAAAUAAGAACCAAGAGAGAUUAUGUAAAGGUGCAAAUUUCCAGUGACAAAUGGCAUUAUACUGUAUAUCUAAAAUGUAACAAUAAAAUUAAUUUUUUAAAAAAUAGUUUCUGACCAAGCAUGGUGGCACAUGCCUGUAAUCCCAGCACUCAGGAGGCUGAGGCAGGUGGAUUGCCACAAAUUCCAGGCCAGCCUGGGCUACACAGUGAGUUCAAGUCCAGCCUGAAUUACAGAGUGAGACCCUGACUUUAAAAAAAAAAAUAGUUUCACACUCAAAGUCUAUUUUGUCUGAUAUUACUACCACCAUUCCAGCUCUCUUUUGGAUACUGUUCUCAUGAGCUAUCUUUUUCUAUCCUUUUACUUUCAUCCUCUAAAAAGUUUUAGAACUGAAAUGAGUUUCUUAUAGAUAGCAUAUAGUUGGACUAUGUUUCUUAAUACAUUCUGCCAAUCUCUGCCAUAAGAUAUUCACAUACACUAGGAUGGCAAUAAUUAAAAAAUAACAAAGCCAGGCAUGGUGGCACAUGCCUAUAAUCCUAGCACUCAGGAGUCUGAGGUAGGAGGAUCACCAUGAGUUCAAUGCCAGCCUAGGCUACAUAGUGAGUUCAAGGACAGCCUGGACUACAUGGAGAGAAAGAAUUAAAAAAAAAAAAACAAGUGUUGGCAAGAAAUUGAGAACUGAAUAUGUUCCUGGUAGAAAUCUAAAUGAUAUAGUGACCAUGGAGAGGAGUUAAAAGCUCCUCAAAAAAGUUACCAUAUAGCCCAGCAAUUCUACCCCUAGCUUAUAUAAAUCAAAAUAAUUGAAAACAGAUAUGCAAAUAAAAAUACACACACAUGCUCAUAGCUACACUAUUUACAAUAGUUGGAGGUAGAAACAACCCAAACAUUCAUCAACAGAUGAACAAUAACAAAAUGUGGCAUAUGAACACAAUAGAAU